GCAUCCGACGGGCUGGGCGGCGGCACAGGCGCCCGCAGCAGCCACCGGCUCUUCCCUUCUGGCAGCAGGGAGAGGGAGCACAGGCAGUUCGGCAGAAGAAUGUUAACCACCGGUCCCUAGCAGCGUAUCCUGACUUCUGAUCUCUUAUAUUAAAGAAAAACACCCACUUCAGAGAGAGUGCAAGACUGUGUGAAAGUAGAGAAUACCACACCUCAGUUUAAAAAAAGGGGCUUUACAUGAACUGAAGUUGUUUGGGGAAUAGCUAGGACCUUUUAAAUGCCUACUGCACUACACUUUUCAUCUAUCAAGACCUAUUUUCAGGUAAGUCAGUUGAAGGAAAACAUUUUAUUUUUGUCUUUAAACUUUGCACUGAGUUUAAUUUUGUCACCUUUUAAUCCUCUUUCAUUUAAUGUUUUGACAUGUAACAAAAGCUUGUGUUUCAAUUUUCAACCCUGCUUAAACAGAGAAAGGCUAUGGCAAUGGUGGCAGGCAGUUCAGAUGUGACUGAGAUAAAG